rnacentral:rRNA from 1 species
GACGAACGCUGGCGGCGUGCUUAACACAUGCAAGUCUACGAGAAAAGAGUAGCAAUAUUCUGAUUAAAGUGGCGCACGGGUGAGUAACACGUAAGCAAUCUACCUUUGGGUCUGGAAUAACUUCGAGAAAUCGAGGCUAAUACCAGAUAAUGCAGCGGCACCGCAUGGUGAUGUUGUUAAAGUUUGAGUAAUGCCUAUAGAUGAGCUUGCGUCUGAUUAGCUAGUUGGUAGAGUAACAGCCUACCAAGGCAACGAUCAGUAGCUGGUCUGAGAGGAUGAUCAGCCACACUGGAACUGAGACACGGUCCAGACUCCUACGGGAGGCAGCAGUGAGGAAUAUUGGGCAAUGCCCGCAAGGGUGACCCAGCAACGCCGCGUGGAGGAUGAAGGCCGUAAGGUUGUAAACUCCUGUUAGAGGGGAAGAAUAG